AACGAACGCUGGCGGCAUGCCUAACACAUGCAAGUCGAACGAGACCUUCGGGUCUAGUGGCGCACGGGUGCGUAACACGUGGGAAUCUGCCCUUUGCUUCGGAAUAACAGUUAGAAAUGACUGCUAAUACCGGAUGAUGCCGAAAGACCAAAGAUUUAUCGGCAAAGGAUGAGCCCGCGUAGGAUUAGGUAGUUGGUGGGGUAAAGGCCUACCAAGCCGACGAUCCUUAGCUGGUCUGAGAGGAUGAUCAGCCACACUGGGACUGAGACACGGCCCAGACUCCUACGGGAGGCAGCAGUGGGGAAUAUUGGACAAUGGGCGAAAGCCUGAUCCAGCAAUGCCGCGUGAGUGAUGAAGGCCUUAGGGUUGUAAAGCUCUUUUACCAGGGAUGAUAAUGACAGUACCUGGAGAAUAAGCGCCGGCUAACUCCGUG
rnacentral:rRNA from 1 species